rnacentral:rRNA from 1 species
CCCUUAGAUGUUCUGGACUGCACGCGCGCUACACUGAAGCUAUCAACACGUUUUCCCUCCCUGAGAAGGGCGGGUAACCUUUUGAAUCAGCUUCGUGGUAGGGAUCGGGGCUUGCAAUUGUUCCCCGUGAACCAGGAAUUCCUAGUAGACGCGAGUCAUAAGCUCGCAUCGAUUAAGUCCCUGCCCUUUGUACACACCGCCCGUCGCUACUACCGAUUGAACGUUUUAGUGAGGCAUUUGGACCGACGCAUCUCAGUUUAACCGCUGGUUUGUGUUGGAAAGACUUCCAAACUUGAGCGUUUAGAGGAAGUAAAAGGCGUAACA